CAGACAUCCAAACCGUCCCCGAACAGCCCACUGGGGGCCCGAACGCAAGGAGUGGCAACUUCCGGAGAGGAGCUGAGGCUGUUGCUUCAGGAUACAAAAUGACAGCAGUCGUCUUUAGUCCUAGCAAGAAUGUCAUGAAUGUGGAUGAGGUCCAAAGAAAGGGCUAUGCAAUAGCCAACACUCCCACACGGCUGGUGUUAAGAAGCCUUCAUAAUGCAGAGGAGACAUACCUCCAGAAUGUAGCUGGGGUUUCG